UACGUAGGGGGCUAGCGUUGUCCGGAAUCAUUGGGCGUAAAGCGCGCGUAGGCGGCCCAGUAAGUCCGUUGUAAAAGUCAAAGGCUCAACCUUUGAAAGCCGAUGGAUACUGUCGGGCUCGAGUCCGGAAGAGGAGUGUGGAAUUCCUGGUGUAGCGGUGAAAUGCGCAGAUAUCAGGAGGAACACCGGUGGCGAAGGCGGUUCUCUGGGCCUUACCUGACGCUGAGGAGCGAAAGCAUGGGGAGCAAACAGG
rnacentral:rRNA from 1 species